rnacentral:sRNA from 1 species
AUUUUUCUGUGGGUUCUGACUUAAAUCACCACAGUAUCAGGAAAUGAGUUCCUUCUACAGUCAGAUGUUGACUUCAUCAUAUUGGAUUGGUUCCACGCUAUCAAAAAUGCAAUUGACAGAUUGCCAAAGGAUUCAAGUUGUCCAUCAAGAAACCUGGAAUUAUUCAAAAUCCAAAGAUCCUCUAGCACUGAAUUGCUAAGUCACUACGACAGUGAUAUAAAAGAACAGAAACCAGAGCACAGAAAAUCUUUAAUGUUCAGACUGCAUCACAGUGCUUCCGAUACAAGCGACAAAAAUCGAGUUAAAAGCAGAUUAAAGAAGUUUAUUACCCGAAGACCUUCCCUGAAAACUCUGCAAGAAAAAGGACUUAUUAAAGAUCAAAUUUUUGGCUCUCAUCUGCACAAAGUGUGUGAACGUGAAAAUUCCACAGUUCCGUGGUUUGUAAAGCAAUGCAUUGAAGCUGUUGAGAAAAGAGGUAACAUGAUUAAAGUUGGAAGAACUCUGAAACCCUGAAAACAAGAGAAGACAUGUGUGAACCUGUU